ensembl:lncRNA
GCAGUAUCAAGCCCUAGGACAAUAAAGUCUCUCUUUUUUUUUCUUUUCUAAUUGCUUUAAGCAGAUUUCCUUUCUGGGGACAGGCAUGUUCUGGGGCCUGUAGUUUUAGGUAUCUUUAAUUUUCUACCCUUGUUUUUUCUCUAUUGACUACUAUGAGAACUGAUUCAAUCAGAUUAUGAAACUGUGAGAUAGCUGAUGUUUGAAGUGGCUAUGGAAGCCUUAGAAUCAUAGAAAUAUAGAAUCAUUAUGGUUGGAAAAGACCACCAGGAUCACCAAUUCCAACCCCAACCCAACCCCACCAUGCCCACUGACCACGUCCUCAGUGCCACAUCACCACAUCUCUCGAACACUUCCAGGGACAGUGACUCCGACAGCUCCCUGGGCAGCCUGUGCCAAUGCCUCAUCGCUCCUUCUGAGAAGAAAUUGUUCCCAAUACCCAACCUGAACCUCGCCUGGCACAACUUAAGGCCAGAAGAAGGACCAGAUGGAAAAAAAAAGCCCCCGUCCUGGCAGCAUGAUUCAUCUUUAAUGUUUUAUGACAUGCCGAGAAUUUGGAAAUUCAUGUUAUUUACUGGUACUUAGCCAUUCUGUAGCUCGGAUCAAUGAGAGCAUCUACCUCAUCUUGCUCUGUUUGAUACUAAUCCAUUCUCCUAAGCAUUUAUAACGUGUUUCUUAUCAUAGAGAUCCUGAGUUUAAAUAUCCUUUCAUUCUACCUUCAGGUUAAUUACACUUCUUGACAAAAAUCCUAACUGGGAUUUCUCCUGCGAAAUGCUGGACUGGAGACCAGAUGACGGCAGAGGCUGUAGGAAAUACAAAAUUAUCUACAGAAGAAAAAGAGUUUGGCUUUGGAGAUUUUCUGCUUAAGAAGGCCGAACAGUCACAGGAAGAUUUCUGAGAGAGAGAUAGGUGUGGGAUCAGAGAGACGGAAACAUUUAUCCACCAUAUUUGAUGCUCUUCCAAACGAGUUAAAAGACUUGAACAUAAACAUUUGAUGUUCCAUCCAGAGGCAAUAUCCUCAUUUCCUACGAGAUACCACUGCUGCACAUGUAAGUACUGACGCUAUGCUGAGACCCGUGGUCCACGCUAGCACGGACAAUGAGAAGAAUAUACCAAAAUAGAAGAAGGUCAUCCACGUCAUCUCCAUUCUCCAUUCCCCAUCACUAAGGGAAGAAGCACUUUUCUUUCUCAGCCCUGUCUGCUCACCUCUGUUUGCGCUGCUACGAUUUUUGCCAUUCCACAUUUGACAGUGUGCUGUGUGCGCUUCCAUCUCUUUAGGACACACCGGAUGCUUUGUUUGGAUUUUUGUAUUCCGAUAGAGCACUUUGUACAUUUCUGCCAGCAGCAGAAUUAAAUACCCCACUAUCUAGAUGGAAUGUUUCAAUCUCAGAUGUUCUCCCGAAAGCGAAUUGGAAAGACUGGUUUGUUUGUUUUCAUAAACCUUGUAUACUUGACAAAAUGCACUGUGCAUGAGGUAUUUCCUCCUUGUAGAAGGGUCUGGGCAGUCCCUGCUUUUCCUCAGUAUCUCUUUGUCAUCCUGCUCUAUGAAAAUAAUAAGAAAGCAAACAAGAAAAUAAAUGUGUCCUCCUUCCAAAUCAAAACAAACCUCUGUCAUUUAUUUUAGCGUACUGCUUGUGCAGAAAUGGCUCUUUCCUCCCUGUGCUUUCUGCAUUUUGCUAAUUGACUGUUUUGAAUGCUUCUGUCAAAAGGCACCUACGUAGCUGCAGGCUCUCCGCUGCGUGGCUCUAGGAGGCAGCUGGAUAGAGCUUUCUCUUUUGUCCCUCGUCAGUUUACAGGGGAAACCAUCAGACUGCCGCAGCGACCACUCCGACUCCCAAUGCAGAAUUUAAAAACCUGACCUCCAUUGCUCUUCUGCUCUCCACCAUUAGCCAAGAGACCUCAGAAUAUCGUUACCGAUGUGCUGAAUCCCUCUAGACGUUUAGAUACCAGUACAUACUGCAUUGCUUUGCUUUUCUUCUUGCGGCUUUUUGUUUUAUUGCAACUGACAGCUGCACAUUUGGGUUGGUAAAACGGUUUGCUGUUCUGGUUCCACUCAAAAUGUGUU